UUUUGAGUUUUUUUCUCAUGCUCAGGACGAACGCUGGCGGCGUGCCUAAUACAUGCAAGUCGAGCGGACAGAUGGGAGCUUGCUCCCUGAUGUUAGCGGCGGACGGGUGAGUAACACGUGGGUAACCUGCCUGUAAGACUGGGAUAACUCCGGGAAACCGGGGCUAAUACCGGAUGGUUGUUUGAACCGCAUGGUUCAAACAUAAAAGGUGGCUUCGGCUACCACUUACAGAUGGACCCGCGGCGCAUUAGCUAGUUGGUGAGGUAAUGGCUCACCAAGGCAACGAUGCGUAGCCGACCUGAGAGGGUGAUCGGCCACACUGGGACUGAGACACGGCCCAGACUCCUACGGGAGGCAGCAGUAGGGAAUCUUCCGCAAUGGACGAAAGUCUGACGGAGCAACGCCGCGUGAGUGAUGAAGGUUUUCGGAUCGUAAAGCUCUGUUGUUAGGGAAGAACAAGUACCGUUCGAAUAGGGCGGUACCUUGACGGUACCUAACCAGAAAGCCACGGCUAACUACGUGCCAGCAGCCGCGGUAAUACGUAGGUGGCAAGCGUUGUCCGGAAUUAUUGGGCGUAAAGGGCUCGCAGGCGGUUUCUUAAGUCUGAUGUGAAAGCCCCCGGCUCAACCGGGGAGGGUCAUUGGAAACUGGGGAACUUGAGUGCAGAAGAGGAGAGUGGAAUUCCACGUGUAGCGGUGAAAUGCGUAGAGAUGUGGAGGAACACCAGUGGCGAAGGCGACUCUCUGGUCUGUAACUGACGCUGAGAGCGAAAGCGGCGG
rnacentral:rRNA from 1 species